rnacentral:ncRNA from 5 species
ACUAAUCGAACCAUCUAGUAGCUGG